UUUCUUUCUCUCUCUCCCCGUUGGUUUUUUCAGGUAUUUUCCCCAAUCUUCUUGGGCGAAAAUCCCUAGCGCGAUUUGCGCUCUUCUUCCGUAAAGUUCCUGCCGGAGUCAUUCCCGACGUUCAUCAGUGGCACCACGAUCUCCGGCACCAGAUUUCAAUAGAAUUGAAGGUUUAAAAAUUGAUUUUAUUACACCUUGUCUUUCAAGAGUGGACAUAUAUGUAAAGUUCAAACGUCCAAGGCGACAAUGUCACAAAAAAUGAGAAAGUUUUACGUACGAAUUUACCGAGCCUCCAUUUGAUGUCAUUUUCAUUGGAAGUUUGUACAGUCCACCACGAACUCCCCUCUCGAGUAAAAUCGCAUUAGUAGCAAAACUC
rnacentral:lncRNA from 1 species